rnacentral:rRNA from 1 species
GACGAACGCUGGCGGCGUGCUUAACACAUGCAAGUCGAACGGAAAGGCCCUGCUUUUGUGGGGUGCUCGAGUGGCGAACGGGUGAGUAACACGUGAGUAACCUGCCCUUGACUUUGGGAUAACUUCAGGAAACUGGGGCUAAUACCGGAUAGGAGCUCCUGCUGCAUGGUGGGGGUUGGAAAGUUUCGGCGGUUGGGGAUGGACUCGCGGCUUAUCAGCUUGUUGGUGGGGGAGUGGCUUACCAAGGCUUUGACGGGUAGCCGGCCUGAGAGGGUGACCGGCCACAUUGGGACUGAGAUACGGACCAGACUCCUACGGGAGGCAGCAGUGGGGAAUAUUGCACAAUGGGCGGAAGCCUGAUGCAGCAACGCCGCGUGCGGGAUGACGGCCUUCGGGUUGUAAAACGCUUUCGCCUGUGACGAAGCGUGAGUGACGGUAAUGGGUAAAGAAGCACCGGCUAACUACGUG